rnacentral:rRNA from 1 species
GACUGACGGUUCACCGCCCGGUGCAUACUGUCACGCUCCGAACAGCCACAACAGCCCGCUGGCUCGCACGGGGUGCUCUUCAUCGAGUGUCCCGCGUGGCCGGCAGAGUUUACUUUGAAAAAAUUAGAGUGCUCAAAGCAGGCUACACUGACGGCCUGAAUGCCUAUGCAUGGAAUAAUGGAAUAGGACCUCGGUUCUAUUUUGUCGGUUUUCUGAACCCGAGGUAAUGACUAAUAGGAACAGGCGGGGGCAUUCGUAUUGCGACGCUAGAGGUGAAAUUCUUGGACCGUCGCAAGACGAACUACUGCGAAAGCAUUUGCCAAGGAUGUUUUCAUUAAUCAAGAACGAAAGUUAGAGGUUCGAAGGCGAUCAGAUACCGCCCUAGUUCUAACCAUAAACGAUGCUGACCAGCGAUCCGCCGGCGUUAUUCCCAUGACCCGGCGGGCAGCUUCCGGGAAACCAAAGUCUUUGGGUUCCGGGGGAAGUAUGGUUGCAAAGCUGAAACUUAAAGGAAUUGACGGAAGGGCACCACCAGGAGUGGAGCCUGCGGCUUAAUUUGACUCAACACGGGGAACCUCACCAGGCCCAGACACCGGAAGGAUUGACAGAUUGAGAGCUCUUUCUCGAUUC